GCAGUUUUUAAGGUGUUUUUAGUGACGUGUUCUCCUAAGACCUAUCAAGUUUUUAGUCAAGAUUUUGGGGUGAAUUCGGUGUGUUUUUAUUUAGGACAAACUUAGACACAGUUUGUAGAGAUGUUCUUACUCCUAUGAUCUAUCAGGAUUUUAGUCAAAAAUUUGAGGUGAAUUUGGGGUGUUUUUAUUUAGGACACUCUUAGACACAGCUUUUGGAGAUGUUCUGCCUCCUAUGACCUC
rnacentral:sRNA from 1 species